rnacentral:rRNA from 1 species
UAGAGUUUGAUCCUGGCUCAGGAUGAACGCUAGCGACAGGCUUAACACAUGCAAGUCGAGGGGCAGCGGGGGUGAUGGCUUGCCAUCACCUGCCGGCGACCGGCGCACGGGUGAGUAACACGUAUGCAACCUGCCCGCCACAGGGGGAUAAGCGGAAGAAAUUCCGUCUAAUACAACAUAAUGCCGGGAGGGGACAUCCCCUGCCGGCCAAAGGGGGCGACCCCGGUCAUGGAUGGGCAUGCGGCGCAUUAGGUAGUUGGUGGGGCAACGGCCCACCAAGCCGACGAUGCGUAGGGGUUCUGAGAGGAAGGUCCCCCACAUUGGAACUGAGACACGGACCAGACUCCUACGGGAGGCAGCAGUGAGGAAUAUUGGUCAAUGGGCGCGAGCCUGAACCAGCCAAGUCGCGUGAGGGAUGACGGUCCUACGGAUUGUAAACCUCUUUUGCCGGGGAGCAAGCGUGCGUUCGUGAACGCGCGUCGAGAGUACCCGGAGAAAAAGCAUCGGCUAACUCCGUGCCAGCAGCCGCGGUAAUACGGAGGAUGCGAGCGUUAUCCGGAUUUAUUGGGUUUAAAGGGUGCGCAGGCGGAUUUUUAAGUCAGCGGUCAAAUCGUGGGGCUCAACCCCAUCCAGCCGUUGAAACUGGGGAUCUAGAGUGUGCGAGAGGUAUGCGGAAUGCGUGGUGUAGCGGUGAAAUGCAUAGAUAUCACGCAGAACCCCGAUUGCGAAGGCAGCAUACCGGUGCACAACUGACGCUCAGGCACGAAAGCGUGGGUAUCGAACAGGAUUAGAUACCCUGGUAGUCCACGCAGUAAACGAUGAAUGCUACCUGUUUGGCCAGAUUGAUGGCUGAGCGGGACAGCGAAAGCGUUAAGCAUUC